CUCUUUUGCUUAUUGAUUUUUUUUUCUUGACCCACAAAUGCUCUUGCUUUUAUUUUGCUGUUCUUCUUUUCCUGUCCCACUCACUGUGGGGAUGUGGGAGAAGUGAGCAAGUAGCUGUAUUACACCUAACUGUUUGUCGGCAGAACAUGUGGAGCUAAUUGGGACUGGAACUGAAUGCUAAAACCAUAUGAGAUGAUUUAGAUUUGUUUAUGUUACUUGAUCAUUUAACCAGUCAUGCAAAAAAGAGAAAGAUGGUUUAGAUCUUUAUGGAAAACUCAUGCAUCCAAAUGCUAACAAUCAUUUAGAUAUCUUAGUACGUGUGGAACAAGACUAAAGGGAAUUGUCACCUUUUCUGCCCCUGAGAUGUGUAGUGUAGAGUUAAAAAAUUCAAUGACGACUAUCAGGGUUUCAGAUGUAAUUUUAUGUCUCUCUUAUGUUCACCCUGUAGGUAGCACUUUAGAAAUUUUUUAUGUUGAUGGAGUAAAAAAUACACCUGUGGUGCAGGAUGCCAACAAUUUGAUAACAGAAACAAGAAUAAUUCACAAUAGUUCCUAUUUUUGAUAUCUUGCACAGCUGUCAUGGUUGUAGCUGUCAUUUUAAUUGGAAUUACUUAUUGCGGUUUUAAUUGAAAUAGAGGAAAUUACUGUUACUCAUUGAGUUACUGGAACGUGAGAUACUUCUGUGUAGUUGACUGUGUAUAUGACAACACAUAAUUCUGUGUAGUUGCCUUCUGAGGAAAUGUUUCACAGAAGUUGAGGAAGUGAGAAAGUUAGGCAGAAAGUUGGUACACUGCAAGAAUUCAGGCUUAAAGAGUGCAGAGCUAGUACAACAGUACUUCUACUUUCUGGCCUCUAAGGCAGAGGAGAUAACUAAAGGCAACUGGCAUUUUGGCUACUGUUAGAAGCUGCCUAGAUGAGGAAAAACUCUGGUUUGUUCACUGUACUGACAGUGAAAUGAGUGACUCCAGGCUGAAGUUAAAGUGUAAGGCACAGAAAAAUCCUGUCAGCCCUCUGCACUAAGUGCAACUCAGAUCCGAAUUUUUGGCUGCAUAUCAGUGACAGUUUUUGGGAAUUAAGUUAUGGCAGUCAGGUGAAGAUUCUGGUGACUGGAAGAAGGGAAAUAAUCUAUUUUUAAAAAGGGUAGGAAGUAGUACCCUGGGAGUACAUCCGUUCCAGUGCCUCACCACCCUUACAGUGAAGAAUUUCAUCAUAAUAUGUAUUUUAAACCUACAUACUUGUCUAAUCACUGCAUGCCCUUGUAAGACUCUGGCCCCAUGGAGCUGCCAGCUCACCAGCUUGGAUAGAAGUUUUACUUAAAUAUAUAGAUAUAGGGUUCUUUAAUACCUCAAGAUAGCAUCAAGAGAAUAAGCCAUGAGCUUGUUCUCAAGGGAUUUCUUUAUUAAGUUAGGGGAGCAAAUAAAGUAACUUGGCCAAAGUUGAAAAGGACACAACACAAGCCAGACAAAAAUGUUCUACCACAAUACUAACUCAGCAUACACUAUUAAUCCACAACACUGAAGGCAAAAUCCAACUAAUUCCACAACACUUACAUCAAGAUCCAACCCCUCCAGCUCCAGGACACCCUAAGCAUCAAGAACAGAGAAGCAGAGGGAGCAAGGAGAGAAAAGGAGAGAAAGGGAGAGACAGCUACCACUGGAAUCUUGUAGAAGAUCAGCUCUCACAAGUCCAAGUGGCAGGGUCAUGACACGAGGCAAACACGUGCCUGUGCUUUUAUCUGGGGUUCCAGGCCAGGGUGAGGGGCAUUGUUCUCACAGUCCUUGUCAAUGUGAGGCUGGGUUAGGAGCUCCAGGAGGUGUGGUGUGUUAUAGUUUGCCCAGGCUGUUUACACAUGAUACAAAACUGCAUGGUCGAGCUGACACACCUGAGAGACAGGAUGCCAUCUAGAGGGACCUGGACAAGCUCGAGAAAUGGGCCCAUGGGAACAUCAUGAAGUUCAACAAGUUCAAGUGCAAGAUGGUGCACCUGGGUUGGGGCAAUUCCCAAUCCCAGUAUAGGCUGGGGGAUGAGCAGAUUGAGAGCAGCCUUGCUGAGAAGGACUUGGUGAAUGAGAGCCUGGACAUAAGGCAGCAAUGUGAGCUUGCAACACAGAAAGCCAACCACACCUUAUGCUGCAUCAAAAGCAGAGUGACCAGCAGCUUAAGGGAGAUGACUCUGCACCUUUACUACCCUAUAGUGAGAGGGGUACCUGGAGUACUGCAUACAGUUCUGGGGUCCUCAGCACAGGAAAGACCAGUUGAAGUAUGUCCAAAGAAGCCCACAAAGAUUAUCUGAGUAAUGGAACACCUCCUGUGAGGAAAGACUGAGAGAGUUAGAGUUGUUCAGCCUUGGAGAAGGAAGGUUCUGGGAAGCAGGCUUUUUGUCACUUUCAAUAUUUUGAGCAGGGCUAUAAGAAAGAUGGGGACAAAUUUUUUGUCAACACCUGUUGCAAUAGGAAAAGUGGUAAUAGUUUCAAACUAAAGGAGUCUGGCAUUAACCAGACCAGAGAGGUUAUGGAUACUCCAUCCCUGGAAACAUUCAAAAUCAGGUUAGACAGGGCUCUGAGCAACCUGAUCUACUUUAAGAUGUCCCUGAUUGAUUACUGGGGGUUUGGACAAGAUGAUCAUUAAAGGUCUCUUCCAAGUCCAACCAUUCUCUCUGUGAUUCUCAGAACAAUACGUCAACAAUUCAGUAGAUAUUGAGUAUUUAUUAUAAGUUAUUGAGGCCCUUCCCACUCUGAAAUAUUUGCACAGAUAAACAGAAGGGGUGAUUUGGAAAAGUGAUUUGGAAAAUAUUGGUAAAAUUGUAUAGCAGGUAUGUAUAUAUGGUGUCUAUAUAGUGUAUAUACAGCGUAUGUGCUUCUAAAUUGCACCCCUACAUGAUAGCCUUAUGGGAAUUCUCUGUUGUGGGCACUGUCAACCUGCUAUAGCUUUAAUUCAUGUUUUAACUUGCUGCCAAUCUCAUAGGGUGUUUGGGAAAAGACCUUGAGCAAUUAAGCAGUUCUUAUAGCUCUGCAGGACUUGAAUCAAAACUUGAUUAUUUGUAUGAAUUGCUCAUUAGUCCCAUUGACAGCAAAGAUAGAAGGGAUACACACAUCUUGAGGGAGGAAAGAAUGAUUGCUAUAGAAGUAUUUAUUAGAAUAAACAGCAUUAUGUUGCUAUGGUUGUUUAUAAAUGUAAUUCUCCACUGACAAUGUCAGAUUUAUCCUAACCAUCAUCUGGAUAUUUUAAACCUUUCUCAUAGGAAAAUAUUAAAAUUAAAUUAACUUACCUGCUGUCAGGUAUACUUACAAAAAACCCCAACCCAACUCAAGAACAUGAAACACAACAAAGAAAUUCAAUCAAACUUCCCCCUCCCCCUCCCAAAGAACUCCCUUCCCCUAAACCACAAAACCUACCAAGAACAAUGUAAUGGACUCCUACUUCAUUCAUGUUUGGAAAUCUGUACAACAAUUUUAAUGAAAUUGAGUUCCUUUUUUCCCACAUCAAAACUGAUGGGUGAUGGGAGAUUUUUUUUUCAAACUUUUUUCUCCCCAGUGUAGGGAGGCGUACUUGAGAAUAUAGCAAUGUCAGGCUCUUACUUUUUAUUUUACUUUUAUGGAAGAGUAAAUAAUAGCCAUGCUUGUCAAUGUAUUGUAUUGUUGAGAACUCACUAAAAGAAAAAAUUAUUGACUGUAGUAUUGUAGCUAAGAUCAUAGUUGCCUUUUAAAAUUAUUUUAUAUCAGUACUUCCAUGUGUUUGUUGCAGAAAUCACAGUGUUUUAAGUUGGUUGUCUACCCUUUUCUGUAGCAGCAAAUCAUAAGCACACAGUGCUUUCCUUGGUGGGUUUGCAGGAGUGUGAUAUAACAAAUGUGCCAGGCCUCCUCAUAUUUAUAUUUUGACCAUUGUUAACAUACCACAGAGGUAUGGCCUGCUUGAUUUCAGCACAUGUUUCACAGUUAUGGAUAACCUGGUGUCCAGGGUUAAGUCGACCCUCAGUCACGAGCCCACCUCUAUGUUGCAUCUCUUCCCUGCUGACCUGGGGUGUCAGAAAUAAUUCACCCUUAUGUUGCCAGUCCAGAUCCAUCUGUGAUACUUUAACCUUGGCAGCCCAAUCCACUUGCCCAUUGCUGUGAUGUUCUUCAGUAGCCCAACUCUUGGCUUCUAUAGCCCGACAUGUGCAUCUACAUGACGUAGUUUUACAAUCAAAGGUCUCUACUUGGGCAGCCAUAUCUUGCCACAAUUCAUCAGCCCAGAUGGGUUUACCUCUCUGCUGCCAGUUUGUCUUCUUCCAUCAUUUCGCCACCCCCACAAAGCAUUUGCCAUCAUCCAUGAGUCAGUGCAAAGGUACAGCGCUGGCCAUUUCUCUCAUUCAACAAUAUCUAAAGCCAACUGGAUGGCUUUCAGCUCUGCAACCUGACUUGAUCCACCUUGUCCCUCAAUAGCUGAGAUUUGCCUCCUAAGACUCCAGACGUCAGCUUUUCAUUUUCAAUGUAUCCCUAGAUUAAAACAGGAACAUCAGUAAAAGGAGUGUAUUGCUUUCUAUUUUCUGAUUGCUGGAUGGGGCCUCCUCAGCACGUGUCACUUUUUCCUCCUCCAGUGAUGAUGAUAGUCUAAAAUUUCCCUUUUGGGACCGUUUGUGAUGACUUCCAAGAUCCUGGUCGAUUGGGGUUUCCUAUUUGAGCUUGCUGUGUGAUUAAUGUGACCCACUUACUCCAUAGCUAUAUGGAGUUGCAUGAUCUGUAGAAGGGAGUAUACCCUUCAUAAGCUUCCAGUAUCUCUUUCAGUUGGGGUGUAACAGGCUGUGGAUACUUUGUACUGCUGGUUCUAGAACCCCAGUGGUCAUCCUUGACUCUCCCUGGUGCUUUUUGCCAGAGACUCCAGGAAGGGCCAUUCUCCCCAGCUGCACUGCAGAGAACAUUUUUCAUCUCUUGUCCUGUCUUGACUGGCCUAAGGGCUACUGCAUGAACAAUAUCCUAUGUAAUUUAUUCAAAAGCUUGUUGCUCAGGAACCCACUUAAAAUCGUUCUUCCUUGUCACAUGAUAGAAAGGGAUUACAAUCCAACUCUAAUCUGGAAUAUGCAUCCUCCAAAAACCCAUAGUAGAAGGAUGAAAGAGAAAUUAUAAACAGAAGGCUGUACUUGUUAGUACAAUGUUUAGAGAUGUAUUAUCUGUUGAUCUAUAGGAGUUUUGGAAAGAUUUGUGUUUUUAGGGAGAGUAGAACUUUGUAAACGUUGCUGAAAAUGACCAUUAAUAUAUGAUUAUUUACAUACCUGAAGGUGCUGACUUCAUGUAAGGGUCAUCUUCUUUAAUAUCUGAGAAUUUAAUUCUGCUUUCUUUUUCAUGCCUGAGAGUUGCAAAGUGUAGUAGUAUCUUUUUAUUAUUAUUAUUUGUUUUGAGUGUAUGAUUACCUUGCAUUUCUAUAGUGCAUAGAUUUGGCACUGAAAGAAGGUAAAAUCCAGUGCCACAAAUACAGUGUGAGUUAUAUUUGGACUUUUUGGUGUUUUGUUACUCAUGAUGAGAUACUAAAAUUACUAACUUAGGUUUUUGCAUCAGAAAAAAGAAAAACUGGGAAUUGAUGACAAGAAGGAGAAGAAAGGAUUCAGAAAACAUAAUUGGAUGAGGAUUCUAGACAUGACACACAGUGAGCAACAAUGGAGAAACAUUAGAAAAAAAAUGGAGCAAGAAGAACAAGAAAUAUUUAGUAUAGUGGUUCUUAGAUAAGUAUGGUACCUUGACUCUACUUGAAAAGGAAAAUCUGACUACCUAGAUGCUAAGUAAGCAAUAUAAAUUAGGUAGAAUAAAAUAAUACUUAUUUCCCUUUUUACUAUUUAAUUAAAUGUGUAAUAUAGCCCUUCAAAAUAAUGCAAAGAGAUAAUAAGUCCAUCUGUUUGUUUGUUAAGGUCCAAGAGGAGAUGUCCCUCAAUUACAGAGCUAAAUCUGAAAAGGGAUGAUGGGGGAAAAAAAUUCCCAGUUACUGCCUUCUUUGCAACAUAUCUUCUCCAAGGGGAAAAAUUGUCUUUUGUCGUGUUAACAAUUAAUGAAAUCAUAACAUCUAUGGUACAAUCUGCCAAAAUGUGUUAGGUAACUUCCUAGAUAUUUCUGAUCAGUAGUCAACAAUCAGUUAAAUAGGAACAUGCACUAUGGCACAUUGCUUUAACCAUUUCUUGACCUGCCAGAUUCAUAUGCCUAUUUCAUAAUAAUAUAAUUUCAUAAUCUGAGAGCCCAUAAAAUAAAUGCUCAUUACAUCUAUCACAAUGGUUUCAGACUGCUCAGGCAUAGCUAGGAGUAAGCCUUUGAAAUGUGAGGAGGCAAGUCAGGUCAAAGCAAAUUCUUACAGUUGCAUUGUAAGCCACUAGCAACAAUAAUAAAGCAUAUUGUUAAUUCACACAAGUUUAGGAAAGCAGGAUAGCAGUAUGACCUUUCAAACUGAUUUUUCACUCCUUUUUCCCCCUUCCAAUUUUUCAAAAUUUGAAGUGAAAGAUAACAUGCAUCUUUCCAGAGUACCUUGAUGUUGUACAACUUUUGAUGAAUAUAACUACUUGUUUUGGCUUUUGUGAAGUCACAUGACAUUCCUCUCUCUUACUGGAGGUGAAAUGACUAGAAGGACAAAAUUCAAACCUCUCCAUAAAACUUCAUUAAUCUUACAGAUGGAACUAUCUUUAGAAAUACUUAAUGCAAAAAAUUCCACUGAGGUAUUGAGCCAUAAAAAAUGGGUAUUUUCACACAAUUCCUUUGUAGACACUAAAUCUAAUUGGUUUAUUAUUCUAGAGCAGUUCUUUUCACUGGAAGUCUAAAGGAACUCUGAAGGAACUCUGAAGGUGAAUGAAACUUAACAAAUAACAGCAUUUUUAAGACAGCCUGGGUUUUGGCUCUUGAUCGUCUCCAGAUGAAUACAAUGGCUCCGAUGACAAGGAGAAGCAAAAUGCAGGUGAUAACAAAGAAAGCAGUUUUGCUUUUUCUCUUGGGGGGUACAGUGGUCUGUAAUACACAGUCAUCUACAACAGCAGUUAAAAAGAAAAUAAAAAAGAUGAAAUGA